rnacentral:misc_RNA from 1 species
GGGCUUGACCCCCAUUC